rnacentral:rRNA from 1 species
UACGUAGGGGGCGAGCGUUGUCCGGAUUUAUUGGGCGUAAAGAGCGUGUAGGCGGUUCGGUAAGUCUGUCGUGAAAUCCUGAGGCUCAACCUUGGACGUGCGAUGGAUACUGCCGGGCUAGAGGAUGGUAGAGGCGAGUGGAAUUCUCGGUGUAGCGGUGAAAUGCGCAGAUAUCGGGAGGAACACCGAUGGCGAAAGCGGCUUCCUGGACCAGCACCGACGUCAGGCACGAAAGCGUGGGGAGCAAACAGG